rnacentral:rRNA from 1 species
CAUGUUUUUGAAUAUUAAAAAAUUUAGUCCUUUUCCCUACGGGGCGCAGCAGGCGCGAAAACGUUACAAUGCUGGAAACAGCGAUAAGGGGACCUCGAGUGCCAGGUUACAAAUCUGGCUGUCGUGAUGCCUAAAAAGCAUUGCAUAGCAAGGGCCGGGCAAGACCGGUGCCAGCCGCCGCGGUAACACCGGCGGCUCGAGUGGUAACCGUUAUUAUUGGGUCUAAAGGGUCUGUAGCCGGCCGGAUAAGUCUCUUGGGAAAUCUGGCAGCUUAACUGUCAGGCUUUCAGGAGAUACUGUCUGGCUUCGAGGCCGGGAGAGGUGAGAGGUACGG